rnacentral:rRNA from 1 species
ACGAACGCUGGCGGCAGGCCUAACACAUGCAAGUCGAGCGCCCUCGCAAGAGGGAGCGGCGGACGGGUGAGUAACGCGUGGGAAUUUUCCUCAAGGUACGGAACAACUCAGGGAAACUUGGGCUAAUACCGUAUGAUGUCUAGCGACCAAAGAUUUAUCGCCUUGGGAUAAGCCCGCGUCAGAUUAGGUAGUUGGUGGGGUAACGGCCUACCAAGCCUGCGAUAUGUAGCUGGUCUGAGAGGACGAUCAGCCACACUGGGACUGGGACACGGCCCAGACUCCUACGGGAGGCAGCAGUGGGGAAUCUUGCGCAAUGGGCGAAAGCCUGACGCAGCCAUGCCGCGUGAAUGAUGAAGGUCUUAGGAUUGUAAAGUUCUUUCGCUCGUGACGAUGAUGACGGUAACGAGAGAAGAAGCCCCGGCUAACUUCGU